rnacentral:rRNA from 1 species
GAUGAACGCUGGCGGCGUGCCUAAUACAUGCAAGUCGAGCGAACAGACGAGGAGCUUGCUCCUUCGACGUUAGCGGCGGACGGGUGAGUAACACGUAGGUAACCUACCUAUAAGACUGGGAUAACUUCGGGAAACCGGAGCUAAUACCGGAUAAUAUUUCGAACCGCAUGGUUCGAUAGUGAAAGAUGGCUUUGCUAUCACUUAUAGAUGGACCUGCGCCGUAUCAGCUAGUUGGUAAGGUAACGGCUUACCAAGGCAACGAUACGUAGCCGACCUGAGAGGGUGAUCGGCCACACUGGAACUGAGACACGGUCCAGACUCCUACGGGAGGCAGCAGUAGGGAAUCUUCCGCAAUGGGCGAAAGCCUGACGGAGCAACGCCGCGUGAGUGAUGAAGGUCUUCGGAUCGUAAAACUCUGUUAUUAGGGAAGAACAAACGUGUAAGUAACUGUGCACGUCUUGACGGUACCUAAUCAGAAAGCCACGGCUAACUACGUG